UUUACUCAUACAGAAAUAUAUAUAUAUAUAUAUAUACACACACACAACCAAACACAGAGAUGAGUGACAUUUAAAAAGGUCUAUAUCUAUCUAUUAAAAGUAAAAAAUUUCUAUUGAUGCCACAUAAGCAGCUUCAAUGUUAUUCACAAUAGAGGUAAGAUCAUCAUUCUUCUAAAAGAAUUUACCCUUUUGGCGUUGUGGUCAUGAUGUUGGAGAACAUUGUCUAAACAGUGGUCCAUAAUCUCUUACUGGUGUUCACUAUGGUUUAUAGCUGGAGAUGGAAAGCCAUAGCUUGUGAUUUACUGUAUAUACGUGCUCACUAAACUGGAGCCAUUGUGUACUGUACAUGUGGGGAGCUGUGGGAAGUAGUCAUCUUGUUGGAGAAUAUUGCUGUUAGGACAGAAAUGCUGGUUUGUCAGAAUUACUUUGUGUUAAUUUGCUGGGACAUUUCCCAACCCUGGUCAUGGAGUCUGCAUUGUCUUUCUCUUUAUUGAUUCAACUAACCUGAUUGAAAGUCCUUUAUGAAUCGAAGUCCUUCAUGAAUCAAGUUGCACAGGACCAAAAAAAAAAAAACCCGGACACCACGAGUGAAGCUUGGAGCCGGCAAAUGGGGCCAAGCAAUGCUAACAAAAUGUCCCCCACAGCAACUGUUUUUCUGUGUUCCUCAAUUUGCUUGUAUAUCUACCAAUUAGACAUUAUAUUUGACAUCUGCUUAGAAAUAUAUGAAUUGAUAAAUCUGCAGUGCUUCCUUAAUGGUAUGCGGGUAUUGACUUGUGUGAUAUAAUGGAUCUGAUGACAGUAUGGCAUUCAUGUCAGUAUGAUGGAAUUUGGGUAUUAAUCAGUUUAGCAAAAGAUUAAAAAAAGAUUUUAAAUCUCAGGAAAGCAGAGACAUUCUGAAAGAUAUAUACUGUAAUAUUUUAAACUGUAGUAAGCAGCUAUGCGAGUGUGGACUGUAAAUUUGAUGCAUUAUUGUUUAUUAACAUAUUUCUAUUGUUCUACUGCACAGUAAUUGUUUACACUGAAUCCUUGCUAAGGCUGAUGUGAGCAGCUUGUCUCCAUGAGCAUGAGCACACUGGUGCCAGUGGUGGUAUUGGAUUGUGAAGUUCAGUGCAGCUCCAGUUCAUCACGUAGUCCAUAAAGAACCAUGAGCUACGAUUAUUGCAUCCACAUCGUAAGUAGUUGAGCUUUAGUUUGUGUGUGUGUGUGUGUGUGUGUGUGUGUGUGUGUGUGUGUGUGUGUGUGUGUGUGUGUGUGCUUUAGUACAAACUUUACUAGGUUUGUUUUUGCAAUUACUAAUAUUAAUUGUAGAGUUUGUUAAAAGGUAGUAGUAUGUUUUUAACUUCUGCCAUUUCUAAAUGCAGAUAUUUAUGUGAAAUCCCAAUAAAAAAAGCAAUGAUUUCCUA